AAGUCGUAACAAGGUUUCCGUAGGUGAACCUGCGGAAGGAUCAUUACUGAAGUAUUAUAAUAAGUUGUUGCUGGUCUUUCAAGGACAAUCGUGCACACUUGUUAUUCUUCAUUUCUCCAUUCUUUGUGCAUCACUUGUGUGGAUCUCUGUCUGAAUUCAUUUCAGAUAAUUAGGACUGCUUCGCAAAGUUACUAUUUGUGGGGCUUUCCUUGUAAUCUUUUGAUCUACAUGUUUUUCACAUACACCAAUGUUUAAAUGUUUAGAAGGAAAAAAGUUGAAUCUUUAUACAACUUUCAGCAACGGAUCUCUUGGCUCUCGCAUCGAUGAAGAACGCAGCGAAAUGCGAUAAGUAAUGUGAAUUGCAGAAUUCAGUGAAUCAUCGAAUCUUUGAACGCAUCUUGCGCUCCUUGGUAUUCUGAGGAGCAUGCCUGUUUGAGUGUCAUUAAUAUCUCAACCACAUUCAUUUUUUUAUUUUGGCAUGUGGCUUGGACUUGGAGGAAUGUGCAGGCUCUGACUCUUGUAGUCUGCUCCUCUUAAAAAUAUAAGUGGUACCUAUAUUGGAACUUUGGCUAAGUGUGAUACAUAUCUGCAUCUAAUCAAGGUUUCCUAUUGCAAAUAGGUUAUGCUGCUGAUUAUUACAACUUGAUAAACUUGACCUCAAAUCAGGUAGGACCACCCGCUGAACUUAAGCAUAUCAAUAAGCGGAGGAAAAGAAACUAACAAGGAUUCCCUUAGUAACUGCGAGUGAAGAGGGAAAAGCUCAAAUUUGUAAUCUGGCGGUCUUUGGCUGUCCGAGUUGUAAUCUAGAGAAGUGCUACCUGCACUGGACCAUGUACAAGUCUCCUGGAAUGGAGCAUCAUAGAGGGUGAGAAUCCCGUCUUUGACAUGGACUGCCAGGGCUUAUAGGUGUGCUCUCAAAGAGUCGAGUUGUUUGGGAAUGCAGCUCAAAAUGGGUGGUAAAUGCCAUCUAAAGCUAAAUAUUGGCGAGAGACCGAUAGCGAACAAGUACCGUGAGGGAAAGAUGAAAAGAACUUUGGAAAGAGAGUUAAACAGUACGUGAAAUUGCUGAAAGGGAAACGCUUGAAGUCAGUCACAUCAGUUGGAAAUCAACCUUGCUUUUGCUGGGUGUACUUUCUGUCUGAUGGGUCAGCAUCAAUUUUGAUUGCUGGAUAAAGUUCUUGGGAAUGUGGCAUCUUUGGAUGUGUUAUAGCCCUUGGACAUAUACAGUGGUUGGGAUUGAGGAACUCAGCACGCCGCAAGGCUGGGCUUGUCCACAAUAUGUGCUUAGGAUGCUGGCAUAAUGGCUUUAAUCGACC
rnacentral:rRNA from 1 species